UGAUCUACCAUGCCGCGUGAGUGAUGAAGGCCUUAGGGUCGUAACGCUCUUUCGCCUGUGAUGAUAUUGACAGUCCCAGGUAAAAAAACCCCGGCUAACUCCGUGCCACCAGCCGCGGUAAUACGGAGGGGGUUAGCGUUGUUCGGAAUUACUGGGCGUAAAGCGCGCGUAGGCGGAUUAGAAAGUUGGGGGUGAAAUCCCGGGGCUCAACCCCGGAACUGCCUCCAAAACUGCUAGUCUAGAGUUCGAGAGAGGUGAGUGGAAUUCCGAGUGUAGAGGUGAAAUUCGUAGAUAUUCGGAGGAACACCAGUGGCGAAGGCGGCUCACUGGCUCGAUACUGACGCUGAGGUGCGAAAGUGUGGGGAGCAAACAGGAUUAGAUACCCUGGUAGUCCACACCGUAAACGAUGAAUGCCAGUCGUCGGAUAGUAUACUAUUCGGUGACACACCUAACGGAUUAAGCAUUCCGCCUGGGGAGUACAGUCGCAAGAUUAAAACU
rnacentral:rRNA from 1 species